UAUGACUGUCCACCAAUGACAUGGC
rnacentral:piRNA from 1 species